rnacentral:rRNA from 1 species
CCUACGGGUGGCAGCAGUGAGGAAUAUUGGUCAAUGGACGAGAGUCUGAACCAGCCAAGUAGCGUGAAGGAUGACUGCCCUAUGGGUUGUAAACUCCUUUUAUAAAGGAAUAAAACGAGGCACGUGUGCCUUUUUGCAUGUACUUUAUGAAUAAGGAUCGGCUAACUCCGUGCCAGCAGCCGCGGUAAUACGGAGGAUCCGAGCGUUAUCCGGAUUUAUUGGGUUUAGAGGGAGCGUAGAUGGGUUGUUAAGUCAGAUGUGAAAGUUUGCGGCUCAACCGUAAAAUUGCAGUUGAUACUGGCAGUCUUGAGUGCAGUUGAGGUAGGCGGAAUUCGUGGUGUAGCGGUGAAAUGCUUAGAUAUCAGGAAGAACCCCGAUUGCGAAGGCAGCUUACUAAACUGUGACUGACAUUGAGGCUCGAAAGUGUGGGUAGCAAACAGGAUUAGAUACCCUUGUAGUC